CCAGAGGCUCUGCUGCCUCCCACUGGGGCCCUGGUGAUCCCCGCGGCUCCUGCAAAGACAGGCGGCUCCUAGGGGUCGCUUAGCGGACGCCUGACUGGAGGCAGCCACAACUGUGCUGAGCGUCUGUGUGCACCUCCCCCACGGCCAAUCCCAGCCCAGGAACCCUCCCCAAGACAGGCCUGAGCCUAGCAGUAGGAAUGGUGGGGUGGGCAAGCCACCAGAGGGUAACGGGAGGGUCCUUCUGGGCUGGCCCUCCCUUCCCCUGGGGCACCUCACCCACCGACAGCUGGCCCCACCGAGACCCACCGAGACUCUGCCGGGCCCCUCAGGGCUACAUCUGGCCUAGAGUUAACAGCCACCAAGAACAGACCUGAAACUCAUCCCCACUGUCCCCGCCCAGUCCCAGACCGGCUGAGGGACAGCCCAGGACCCCAGAAAAGCCACAGAAGCCACUGGACAAGCAGAUCACCCCCUACCACCCAGGCCCCAGUGCAGCCCCAGCCUGGUCCACACAGCCAUGGCCACAGCCAGAGAGAGGAGGCAGGGGCAGCGGCCUGGUCCACCCCAUGAGCAAACCCACACAUCAGCCAAGAACACCGGGUCUCACACCAGGACACACCACGAGCAGGGGCCCUCAAGAGAACUCUGGGAGAUGGCCCACGAGGGGCUUUCCCGGGCCCAGCGUGCCAUCAGCCCUCCAGCAACAGCCGCCUCUGUGGUGGCCCCGGAGCCAUUGGCUCACCCCGCCCCCUCCUGCCAGCACCAGACCCCACCUU
rnacentral:lncRNA from 1 species